rnacentral:rRNA from 1 species
GGUUGCUUGCAAGGGCGUAUGGUGGAUGCCUUGGCAGACAGUACCGAUGAAGGACGUUUGAGGCUGCGAUAUGCCUCGGGGAGCCGCCAGCAGGGCUUUGAUCCGAGGAUUUCCGAAUGGGGGAACCCGCCGGCCGUCAUGGGCCGGCACCGCGUUCGCGCGGGGGGUACGCAGGGAAGUGAAACAUCUCAGUACCUGCAGGAAAGGAUGUUCCGUGAGUAGUGGCGAGCGAAAGCGGAUCAGGCCAAACCGCGCGCGUGUGACAGGCGCCAGCCGUUGCGCGCGUGGUGUUGAGGGAGCGUGUGUCCGGGUCCUGGCGGGCUCGGCCGGAGUGAUAAAACGGCGUGUGAGGCGAACCGGAUUGAAUGCCGGGCCGCAGAGGGUGAUGGCCCCGUAGCCGAACGCGCGUCGUCUCCGGAUCGUGUUUCCCAAGUAGCGCGGGACUCGUGGAAUCCCGUGUGAAUCCGCCCCGACCGUGGGGUAAGCCUAGAUAUACCUGUCUGACCGAUAGCGAACUAGUACCGUGAGGGAAAGGUGAAAAGCACCCCGGGAGGGGAGUGAAACAGUCUCUGAAACCGUGCGCUUACAAACCGUCGGAGCCUUUCGGGGUGACGGCGUGCCUAUCGAAAAAUGAGUCUGCGAGUCAGUGGCACGUGGCGAGCGUAACCCGUGUGGGGUACGCGUAGCGAAGGCGAGUCUCAAAAGGCGUUUGAGUCGCGUGUCCUGGACCCGAAGCGGGAUGAUCUAGCCCUGAGCAGGUUGAAGCGCGGGUAAGACCGCGUGGAGGACCGAACCCACCUGGGUUGAAAACCGGGGGGAUGACUUGGGGUUAGGGGUGAAAGGCCAAUCAAAUUCCGUGAUAGCUGGUUCUCUCCGAAAUGCAUUUAGGUGCAGCGUCGGGGAUUACGUCCGGGGGGUAGAGCUACUGGAUGCUUGAGGGCCCGUAUCGGGUACCGACAGCAGCCAAACUCCGAAUACCCGUGACGCGUAUCCCGGCAGUGAGUCGGCGGGGGAUAAGCUCCGUCGUCGAAAGGGAGACAGCCCAGAUCGUCGUCUAAGGUCCCCAAGCGCGUGCUAAGUGGGAAAGGAUGUGGAGUCGCAUAGACAGCCAGGAGGUUGGCUCAGAAGCAGCCAUCCUUGAAAGAGUGCGUAACAGCUCACUGGUCUAGUGGUUCCGCGCCGACAAUGUAGCGGGGCUCAAGCACGCCACCGAAGACGCGGCAGCGUCCGUUUGGAUGCUGGGUAGGAGAGCGUCCCCAUCGGGGCGAAGCGGCGGCGCAAGCCUGCCGUGGACCGUUGGGGAGUGAGAAUGCAGACAUGAGUAGCGAGAGGCGGGUGCGAAUCCCGCCCGCUGGAUGACCAAGGGUUCCGGGGCCACGUUCGUCGUCCCCGGGUGAGUCGGGUCCUAAGGCGAGGCCGACAGGCGUAGUCGAAUGGAUGAACGGGCUGAUAUUCCCGUACCGGCAGCGAACCGAAACAACCGAGGCCUGGGGCGCUAACCUCCGGGUCCGUGCCGUCUCCCCUUUCGGGGGGUCGCGGCGCGGGCGCGUUGGGAUCCCCCCUCGUAGUAGGUCAGCGCAGGAGUGACGCAUCAGGGCAGCCGGCCGCGGAGGUGGUUUUCCGUGGUCAAGCGUUCGAGCCCGUCCCGCAGGCAAAUCCGCGGGGCGUCGGGGCGAGGCGUGAUGAUGGGGGCCUUACGGCCCGAAUCCGGUGAUCCGUGGUGCCGAGAAAAGCUUCGGCGUCAGGCGCGUUGCCGCCCGUACCCCAAACCGACACUGGUGGUCAGGUAGAGAAUACCAAAGCGAUCGAGCGAAUCCUGGUCAAGGAACUCGGCAAAUUGCUCCCGUGCCUUCGGCAUAAGGGAGACCCCCUGCGGUGAUGAGCGGCGGGGGGUGGCACAGGCCAGGGGGUAGCGACUGUUUACCAAAAACACAGGAGCGUGCGAAGGCGCAAGCCGCUGUAUACGCUCUGACGCCUGCCCGGUGCCGGAAGGUUAAGAGGAUCCGUCAGCUUCUGCGAAGCGGUGAAUUCAAGCCCCGGUAAACGGCGGUGGUAACUAUAACCAUCCUAAGGUAGCGAAAUUCCUUGUCGGGUAAGUUCCGACCUGCACGAAUGGCGUA